rnacentral:rRNA from 1 species
GUCGAGUCGGCCUGCGCGGAAGAUGUAACGGGGCUCAAACUGGAUACCGAAGCUGCGGCUGCAUACUAUGUAUGCGGGGUAGGGGAGCGUUGUGUAAGUCUGUGAAGGUGUGUUGAGAAGCAUGCUGGAGAUAUCACAAGUGCGAAUGCUGACGUGAGUAACGAUAAUGGGAGUGAAAAACUCCCACGCCGAAAGACCAAGGUUUCCUGCGCAACGCUAAUCGGCGCAGGGUGAGUCGGCCCCUAAGGCGAGGCAGAAAUGCGUAGCUGAUGGGAAACGGGUUAAUAUUCCCGUACUUCUUAUAACUGCGAUGGAGAGACGGAGAAGGCUAUGCCUACCGGGCGUUGGUUGUCCCGGGGAAAGGCUGUAGGCUGAGGUGUUAGGCAAAUCCGGCACCUUAAGGCUGAGAGUCGAGACCACUGGUCCUUUGUGACCGGGAAGUGGUUGAUGCCAUGCUUCCAGGAAAAUCUUCUAAGCUUCAGGUUAUAAGGAACCGUACCCCAAACCGACACAGGUGGUUGGGAUGAGUAUUCUAAGGCGCUUGAGAGAACUCGGGUGAAGGAACUAGGCAAAGUGGUACCGUAACUUCGGGAGAAGGUACGCCGCUGAAGGUGAUGAGACUUGCUCUCUGAGCUAUCGGCGGUCGCAGUGAAAAGGCCCCUGCAACUGUUUAUUAAAAACACAGCACUCUGCAAACGCGUAAGCGGACGUAUAGGGUGUGACGCCUGCCCGGUGCCGGAAGGUUAAUUGAUGGGGUUAGCUUCGGCGAAGCUCUUGAUCGAAGCCCCGGUAAACGGCGGCCGUAACUAUAACGGUCCUAAGGUAGCGAAAUUCCUUGUCGGGUAAGUUCCGACCUGCACGAAUGGCGUAAUGAUGGGGGCGCUGUCUCCACCCGAGACUCAGUGAAAUCGAAAUCGCAGUGAAGAUGCUGUGUACCCGCGGCUAGACGGAAAGACCCCGUGAACCUUUACUAUAGCUUCACAGUGGACUUUGAACCUGUUUGUGUAGGAUAGCUGGGAGACUUUGAAGCAGUGACGCUAGUUACUGUGGAGUCGUCCUUGAAAUACCAGCCUGGCAUGUUUGAGGUUCUAACCUAGGUCCCUUAUCGGGAUCGGGGACAUUGUGUGGUGGGUAGUUUGACUGGGGCGGUCUCCUCCCAAAGAGUAACGGAGGAGCACAAAGGUACCCUCAGCACGGUCGGACAUCGUGCAACGAGCGUAAAGGUAGAAGGGUGCUUGACUGCGAGACCUACAAGUCGAGCAGGUGCGAAAGCAGGUCUUAGUGAUCCGGUGGUUCUGUAUGGAAGGGCCAUCGCUCAACGGAUAAAAGGUACUCCGGGGAUAACAGGCUGAUACCGCCCAAGAGUUCAUAUCGACGGCGGUGUUUGGCACCUCGAUGUCGGCUCAUCUCAUCCUGGGGCUGAAGCCGGUCCCAAGGGUAUGGCUGUUCGCCAUUUAAAGAGGUACGCGAGCUGGGUUUAGAACGUCGUGAGACAGUUCGGUCCCUAUCUGCCGUGGGCGUU